CUACGGGGCGCUCCAGUGGGGAAUAUUGCACAAUGGAGGAAACUCUGAUGCAGCAACGCCGCGUGGAGGAUGACACUUUUCGGAGCGUAAACUCCUUUUAUAUAGGAAGAAGAUGACGGUACUAUAUGAAUAAGCGCCGGCUAACUCCGUGCCAGCAGCCGCGGUAGUACGGAGGGCGCAAGCGUUACUCGGAAUCACUGGGCGUAAAGAGCGUGUAGGCGGAUUAAAAAGUCAGAAGUGAAAUCCUAUAGCUUAACUAUAGAACUGCUUCUGAAACUCUUAAUCUAGAAUAUGGGAGAGGUAGAUGGAAUUUCUGGUGUAGGGGUAAAAUCCGUAGAGAUCAGAAGGAAUACCGAUUGCGAAGGCGAUCUCCUGGAACAUUACUGACGCUAAGGCGUGAAAGCGUGGGGAGCAAACAGGAUUAGAUACCCCCGUAGUC
rnacentral:rRNA from 1 species